CCAAAAUUAUUUUCACUCUGGGUGCCUCACCGCCACUUUACUUCACACAAACUACACUUUCAGUGCUUCAUUCCCUCUGAGAACCACACACCGUUCUUCUUCACACAAACUAUUCUUCCAGUGCUUCAUUCCCUCUGAGAACCACACAUCGUCACAUCUCCAUCAUUCCAUCUUUUUCAUCCCUCGAAUCUCUUCCAAGUUUUCAUCUCAAUGUUAAUCGCGAUCUGAAUCCUUUUCUCGGACAAGCUAGUGCUGAUUUUGAUUGAAAUCUGAAUCGCGCUCUAAUCAUCAGGGUUUGAAACCUUAUUCAAAUUGAAUAUAUGUUUGAUGAAGUGAAAAAAGCCUCUGCAUCCUGCAUUCCUUACGUCAAAGCCUUCUUGUUGAUACUGCUAUGACUCAGCAUGGUAUGGGUGAUGAAGCUACUAUAAAGAAAAUAAUUUUUGAGGUGGAUACAGAUAAUGAUGGAAGAAUAAACUGUGAGAAAUUCUGUGCAAUGAUGAGAAGUGGAACCCCACACCCCGAACAACUAUACUAAAUCUCUUGAAUUCAGUCAAUUUCACACCAUUGAUCUGUAUUUGUUGAAGUAUUGUUUGGUCUUGAAAUUCUUUAUGGAAAGGAAUAUUGUCAAUGCCCUUCAUGGUUAGGUUACAAGUGGAACACUGAUUCUGCAGGAUUGUGCUGUUAGUUUGCUCUUUGCAUUGUUUCCAGUAUUGGGUGGAACAUCAGGUGUUCUUUAGGGAGUAACACACAUGACUAAAUUUUACUUAUUCGGUUAUUCCUUGAGAUUAUGAGAUAGGGGAGAAAGGGGUUAACCUGAGUGGAGGCCAGAAGCAACGGAUUCAGCUCGGUCGUGCUCUUUACCAGAAUGUUAAUAUAUACCUCUUAGAUGAUCCAUUCAGUGCAGUUGAUGCACAUAUUGCCACAAAUCUUUUUAAUGAAUACAUCAUGUAAAGACUUGCAGGAAAGACAGUUUUGCUUGUCACGCAUCAAGUUGACUUUCUUUCUGAAUUUGAUUCUGUUUUGUUGAUGUCAGACGGUGAAAUCCUACAAGCUGCUUCUUAUCAUGAUCUGUUGGCCUCAAGUCAAGAAUUUGGCUGCAUCAACAGCCACCGCCACCUCUAAUUUAUUGUUCUUCAUCUUUGCUACUCGCUAGAAACAAAUUCGGAGCCUCUGUCAUCGUAUUCUUUUUUCUUCGACAGACGCUCUCCUAACCCGAAGCACUCAGCUCGCCCAUUCUCUAUCUUCGAUGCCAGUUACUGUUUCCAUCAUCGGAAGGCCCUUCGAAAGAAACCUAAACUCUUCCAAAGACCCCAGGGUAGUACUCGGCAACCCCAGCAAUCUGAAGAACAUCGUCGGGGCUCCCUGUUCCGGAACACUAACCUUACCCCGUUUUAAUUAACAAACCCUAACCUAACACCCACCACACGGGCCCCCUUUCCCCUCACAACAGUGCCGCAUCCCCACUCCCCCUUUUCCCCUCUCCAGCGCACACAACACAAUACACACACGCGGAAGAGGAGAGCCCGAGGAAGGAGACGCUGCCUUGCUCCCAGCUCCGUCGUGCCCAGCCUGCCGCCGCUGUUGAGUCAAACCCAAGAGAGAGUGUGACGAUGAGAGAGGAGGAGCCGUCACCAAACGCGUCGCCGCCGCUGGAGGAGCUUCGCGCUUCGCCGUCGCCGUGGAGGGGAAAGAGGAGCUGCUCCUGUCGCGUCAGUCACUGUCAUGCUUCCUGGUUGCUGAUGAGGGAGCCGCGAGAACCGUUGCCGUCGUGGAGGAGGGGGACACGCGAAAGGGAGUCGUCACGGUGGUCGCCAUCAUCGCUGUUGAGUACAUGUUCAUGCUUUUUCAGUAAAUCUUCUUUCAUCAUUUAAUCAUUUAUUUUGAAUAUUACAAUAAAUCUGUGCUUUUAAUUGUUAUUACUCUUCUCCAAUUGAAAGGAACCGAUGGAAGGAGAGAACCGCAGGUACCGUCAAUUUCCCGAAGAACAAGGUUACUCACAAGAGUUUUCUUCUGCCGCAGCAGAUUCCAUUCAUUCAGUCUUAUGCUGGAGAUGUCAACCAAGUCAUCCACAUUUUUUAUUUCCAUGUUUGUAUGAUCAUAUCUUUGCUGAGAAUUUUAAGAUUAUGGGUAGAGGUAGAGGAAAGGUAAAAAGCUAAAUGUUAAUCAUGAAGAUGCUGGAAGUGGUGAGGAUGAAAAGCUUCCCACACAAAAGAGAAGAGGAAGGCCACAAAAACCUCUUAAAGAUGAAUUUGAUGAUGAAGGAGUUGAAAAAGUAGAGUGCUUACGUGUUUACGUGUUUUGAAAUGUAGCUAAUUUCUUUGGCACAAUCCGGCCAACCAAUAACACAAGAUCUUCUUUCUAGUGGUGGGAAAGUGCUUACUAUUUGGUUUUGUUAAUCGAGAAGAAAAGGCAUAAAGAAAAAGUUGAUUCAAAUGGUAGUUCUCCAUUGCAGCCAUCACCAUCUUCAAGUAGUUGAUUCUCUUCGAAGUCAAUAAGAAAGUUGUUGGAUUGGAUCACAUGGCAUGGCAUGUUGGUAAAUGGGGAUGCACAGUUGUAUUGUAAGCCUCACUUUAAGAAAAUGUCUUGGUUCCGUCAGAAGACAGUGAAUUUACCUCUGUUCGGGGAGGCCUCUAUUGUCUCACUUGUAGUGUUACUAUUUUUUGUGGCCUUUGCGAUUUUUUGGGCUGCUACUACUGCAAUCAUAUUCAUGGAUUGGCCAAGAUAUUCUUUAAGUACAAUUACUCUAUGCUGCUACAAGGACAAUAACACAGCCAUGGCAACUUCAGUUUCAACCAUAGGAGCUGUCAAAGGAACUCUAAUCAAUGGCCGGUGUAUAUCUCGCUGAGAGGCUUAACACUGUUCUGAGGAUGAACUGGAAAAGCUUCUCUAGUCAAAACUAUUUUGAUCCAAAUGGAUUAUUCAUGUCAGUUCUUUGGUCGGAGCCCCUUCUCGUCAUUGCUAUGAUAAUUCUGGCGAGUUUGAAUGGUUCUGGAGCUGUGACUUCAUCAGUUCCCAAUUCAUCAGCUUUCUUUGGAAGCGGCUUGAAGAAGGUUCAUCAAGAAUCCCUAGCAGCAACAAGGUUUCCACCGGAAGCUUCAAGAUUGCGGCGAUCGAUGAGGACAAGCAGACAGAUAAGGACAGAUGGAAAGGGUUGGCCUAUGAUAUCUCAAAUGACCAGCAAGAUAUCACAAGAGGGAAGGGUAUUUUGUAGUUUUUAAAGGAAGUAGAUAAUGUAAUAGUUGUUGGAAUUGUAAUGCAUGUAUUACAAAUUCAUGGGUAGCUGUUCACUUUGACUUUUUGUUAGAGCUUGUCAUGUGAUCAACCACUAUAUUUAGUGUACAAGUUUAUGAAGGUUUUAUAUUGUUAAUAGUAAUUAAAAUUGUUAUGAAGGUUU